CCUACGGGUGGCAGCAGUGAGGAAUAUUGGUCAAUGGACGUAAGCCUGAACCAGCCAAGUCGCGUGAGGGAUGAAGGCUCUAUGGUUCGUAAACCUCUUUUAUAAGGGAAUAAAGUGUGGGACGUGUCCUGUUUUGUAUGUACCAUAUGAAUAAGGAUCGGCUAACUCCGUGCCAGCAGCCGCGGUAAUACGGAGGAUCCGAGCGUUAUCCGGAUUUAUUGGGUUUAAAGGGUGCGUAGGCGGCCUUUUAAGUCAGCUGUGAAAGUCUGUGGCUCAACCAUAAAAUUGCCGUUGAAACUGGGAGGCUUGAGUAUGUUUGAGGCAGGCGGAAUGCGUGGUGUAGCGGUGAAAUGCUUAGAUAUCACGCAGAACCCCGAUUGCGAAGGCAGCCUGCCAAGCCAUGACUGACGCUGAGGCACGAAAGCGUGGGGAUCAAACAGGAUUAGAUACCCGUGUAGUC
rnacentral:rRNA from 1 species